rnacentral:rRNA from 1 species
CCUACGGGAGGCUGCAGUGGGGAAUAUUGCACAAUGGGGGAAACCCUGAUGCAGCGACGCCGCGUGAGUGAAGAAGUAUUUCGGUAUGUAAAGCUCUAUCAGCAGGGAAGAAAAUGACGGUACCUGAUUAAGAAGCCCCGGCUAACUACGUGCCAGCAGCCGCGGUAAUACGUAGGGGGCAAGCGUUAUCCGGAUUUACUGGGUGUAAGGGGAGCGUGGACGGCAGCACAAGUCUGGAGUGAAAUGCCGGGGCUUAACCCCGGAACUGCUUUGGAAACUGUGCAGCUAGAGUGCAGGAGAGGUAAGUGGAAUUCCUAGUGUAGCGGUGAAAUGCGUAGAUAUUAGGAGGAACACCAGUGGCGAAGGCGGCUUACUGGACUGUAACUGACGUUGAGGCUCGAAAGCGUGGGGAGCAAACAGGAUUAGAUACCCUUGUAGUC